ACCUGGAUGUUUGGGUGCUUUGUUUGUUUUUUGUUCAUUGGUUAUUACAUGACCUCCAGGGUAGGUGCUCCACAAAGGGAGUGAAAAGAGGACGCCUGAUAUAUACGCAUUGGGCCAUUCUAGAAAAACAGCUUGGGGUUCUCUCGGAAACGCGGCAUUGGUCCUUGCACUAUGGUUUAAUUGAAAAGGGAUUAUGCACCAAGUUACUUAAGUGAGCAUAGGUUGAAAUCUUGUUCAUCCCCUA